rnacentral:rRNA from 1 species
UACGAAGGGGGCAAGCGUUGUUCGGAAUUACUGGGCGUAAAGGGCGCGUAGGCGGCCUUCUAAGUCGAACGUGAAAUCCCCGGGCUCAACCCGGGAACUGCGUCCGAGACUGGAAGGCUCGAAUCCGGGAGAGGGAUGUGGAAUUCCAGGUGUAGCGGUGAAAUGCGUAGAUAUCUGGAGGAACAUCGGUGGCGAAGGCGGCAUCCUGGACCGGUAGUUGACGCUGAGGCGCGGAAAGCCAGGGGAGCAAACGGG